AUCAAGCUCCCACACAAUGAACCCUAAUCCUCUCUAUCUCCUUCCCCCAUCUCCGUUUGUCCUUCUGUCUCCUCUCUCCGCUGCCAUGGAUCCCUACUUUCAUCACUACCGUCGCCCAAAUACGUAUAUUCCUCUUCCUCCGACGUAUAACGACCACUAUCUCCGCCAGGUUCCCAACCACGUUCUUGUGAACCCUACCGCAUUCAAUUUCAACCCUCCCGUUUUUUUACCCGCCAAUCCACUCUUUGUUCCUCUGGUUCCUGUUCUUUUCGAACAUGAUUCGCGUCACCGUAGUCAAUGCUAUCGCAGUCUCCUUCAAAUUCUAACCCUAGCCGCAGUGCUUCCAGGUUCAGGAAGGAGUGCUUUGGCGGAGCAAACCGCCGUUGCCAUGUGCUUGUUCCUCCGAAUUCCGGUAUCAAAUCGAAACUUUGCUCGGAAGAGGUGCGAGACUCUUCUCUCGAGACAACGGCUUUGGAACUGGAUAGGUAUGAUUACGAUAGAGCAGAUAGGGUUCAUGAAUAUAAUGGCAUUCCAAAAAAAUAGGUUAAGAGUAAGAGUGCUUUUCUUAGAAUCCAGGCGCCAAAACCGAGCAAUGGUAAGAAUGAGGAUGAUGAACAAUUACAUUGUGAUGAUUGUGCUGCUGUUGACUCAUUGGUUAUUUUAACACUAAAAAAAUUAUUUGGAUAAGUUUUGCAAAGGAACACAUCUAGAUGCUCAGACCCAGUAAGAUUGUGUUUGAUACACUGGCUUGAUGGUAAUAGUUUCUUGUGAUUUGGAAUUUUGUUUCCCCCUAAAGAAUGUAGUGCUACAUGAUCUGGAUUCUGCCAAUGCACAACCUCAAGGUGGGCAAGAAUCGAUUGAUGAGUGCAAAUAGUGGAUAUGGUGGCUUAGGAGUACAGGAACAGAAUCGAUUGAUGAGUGUUGUGCUUCCACAAGGUAUUGAAGUACUUUGUGGUGACAAGAGCUUCUUGAUUCAGGAUCUCCGUAGGUGAUUUCAAUGCUAGGGAACUCUUAUCCCAAUGCUGGUGGUCCACUUUCACAAAGCCAUGUUAUGGAUAUGUUGAAUGAUGUAAACUCGAGUGAUAAUUCUCGUUUUGACAUGAAUGACUUCCCUCAACUGACUAGUCGACCUAGUUCUGCUGGAGGGCCUCAAGCACAAUUGGGUGCAAACGAAGAUUUCCAGCUUUGCCAGGAUUCAAAGGUGUAGUUACUGGAGAAGAUAUGUGACCUGAUUGGCUGUUAUGCAUUUCUUUCUAGCAAUUUUGGCUGUUUUAUGUUAUCAAAUAGUUUUUUUGUAUAGUUGCCUUAUGAUUUGUUGUUUAAAGUGUCUCUUCUUACAGAGUUGAGUUGUAGACUGAAUUAUGCACUUUCUCUUAUGGAAAGUUUUAUGGAUUUAUGUGCA